GCCCUUGGGAAAGGGGAAACUGCACAGGAAAGAGCAACCCCAUCACUGAACAUGUGUUUUCCUGCAGGGAAUGUGAUUUAUUCCCAAGUGGGAGCAGCAGAAGGGUCACUCAUGGUUCACACAGCAGCAGGACCUGAUCUCCUCAAGGGCUGGAAAGCCCCACAACCAGGUUGCUUUCAUCUAGUUUGGACUUUGAUUGCAGUUAGACCUGAAGGAGCUACCCAAAAAACUCCCAUCUGCAGCCCCACAAACUCCCUCCCUGCUGCAGUUCUGCUUCAGAGAAGUGAGUAAUUCAGUCACAAACACGAAGGGAAGUGAAACACUCUCAAGUCCUUGCAGAGCUCAGCAUGUCCCACCCAUCUUCCUCUCUGGCCAGAAGGCCAACAUCCCUGUGCCACAGCCUGGGCUGCCAGGCAGAUCUUCUGGAAGCAAAUGCAUGCUACAAAAUCUUCUUUUCC
rnacentral:lncRNA from 12 species